UUCUAUGGUGAACCGUGCGGGGCAGGCUUUUGCCUGGCCGGUUUCCUCGGUUACCGGAUUCUGACCCCCGUACGGUUCGCCACCCUA
rfam:Pseudomonas pseudoalcaligenes KF707 = NBRC 110670 strain KF707 ctg1504, whole genome shotgun sequence.